GAAUGAUUUUAUUGCGAGUUGUAUAUGGCAGGGGACAACAUGUGAUCCAAGUUAUUUUGAAGUAUUUCAAAACUAUAUGUAUGGAAAUUGCUUUACUUUCAACACAAGUAAAGUCAACAGUAGCGUUAGCGGUACAGGACCUUACAAUGGUCUUAGUCUCUUCCUUUUCCUCGAGCAAGAAGAAUACAUGGAUCGUAUAGCGUCAGCAGCCGGAGCUCGUGUCACAAUUCACGAGUUUGACCAUGAACCACAGCCAGAA